AACAGCCAGUUGUAUCACUUGUUACAUGACAAAGAGACAGGAAGUGAAUGAUUUUUGUUUGAAAACUGAACCCUCUAUGGUCCGGUGUUGCCUCGAGGCAACAUGUAGCAUUUUGGCCAUUUAAACUCAUGUUAUACUUUAAAGGAAGGGUGAGAUCCUAAAUAAACCAACAGCAGUGUUUAAGUUUGUCACAUGACUCUCUGGAAUCCAUUUUGAAGCCCUUUCCUCCAGCCAUCCUCCCACGGACGACAUUCCCCAUUUUGCCCUUAGAAAUGGCCUCAAAACAUUUUUUGUACAACCAGGAAAAAGUAGGUUCACAAUAAUAGGAAGAAGAAACCAAAACUAGUCGUCCCAAUAGAUGACAGUGAGGAUGAGUUAGGACUUAGUGAUGAAGAGGUUGCUAGUUGCCUCUGCAUGGAGAGGAAAGUCUUGAAGAGGGUGAGACCAUCACAGCAGCCUGAAGGAGACCAGGCUGAGAAGAGGCCCAGAGGUCCAUCAUCAACUGUGCGUCAUGACAACACUGAUCACUGGCCUGUGUGGGGGGAGAAAAAGGGCCGGUGCAGAUACCCCGGCUGUACGGGUAUAGUGAAAGUGAAGUGCAGAAAGUGCGCCCCCUACCUGUGCUUCACACCCCAGAAGAACUGCUUCAUGGACUUCCAUAUGCAGUGAGCCAGUGAUGGCAGCAACACAAAACACAUGAGGACUGACAGACACCGCGGACACUGUCAACAUUGACAUGUAACACAAAUGAUCACAUACUAAAGGUUGACUCACCAUCUUUGUUGUUUGGUAUCGUGGUGUGUUUUGUUCCAUUGUUGAUAACAUGGUUAUGAGCUUUUGUUUGUUUGUAUGUUGUUCCAUAUUUACACUGUUGAACACAUUCAUUCCAACAUGUUGUUCCACAGUCGGCGACACAUGAUAGAAAGAUUGUUUUUAAUGUUUUAAACUUUCCAAAUGACAUGAUUUGUAAACCUUUAAUGUUAUGCAGUGUUUUUAAUAAAUUGUAAUCAUUUUAAA